rnacentral:rRNA from 1 species
GAUGAACGCUCGCUAUAGGCUUAACACAUGCAAGUCGAGGGGAAACGGCAUUAUGUGCUUGCACAUUUUGGACGUCGACCGGCGCACGGGUGAGUAUCGCGUAUCCAACCUGCCCUUUACUUGGGGAUACCCCGUUGAAAGACGGCCUAAUACCCGAUGUAAUUCAUUGAUGGCAUCAGAUAUGAAUAAAAGAUUUAUCGGUAAAGGAUGGGGAUGCGUCUGAUUAGCUUGUUGGUGAGGUAACGGCUCACCAAGGCGACGAUCAGUAGGGGUUCUGAGAGGAAGGUCCCCCACAUUGGAACUGAGACACGGUCCAAACUCCUACGGGAGGCAGCAGUGAGGAAUAUUGGUCAAUGGGCGCAAGCCUGAACCAGCCAAGUAGCGUACAGGAAGACGGCCCUAUGGGUUGUAAACUGCUUUUAUACGAGAAUAAUUUGAUGCACGUGCGCGUUAUUGCAUGUAUCGUAUGAAUAAGGACCGGCUAAUUCCGUG